UUCGUACUGGCGUUUUCCAGCACUGGCCGAAAAUCAGCUGUGCCAAAAGCAGAUUUCUUUGAAAGCCAUUUUGCAACACAAGAGAACAGACUCGUGUUAAGUUAAAGUUCAAUUACAACUCAUUAUAUUCGAGGAGGCACAUGCUACUCCCUAAAAAUCGUGUCCCACUGGAGGGCACAAGGCAAAGACGAGUCUCCUCCCUCCUCCUCCAGCCACGACUGGCACCAUCGCAUACUGGAGACUGGAGAGUGGAGUCUGGAGAGUGGAUCAUCAAUGUGCUGGCCUGUGGAGAGGAAAGCCCCAUCGACUUAUGCAGUGGAGAGGAAAACUAUAAAGUCCUGGACUUUGUGCGGGAGCAGAAGCUGGCAGCCGCCAUCAAGGUAAUCGGCUGUCUGUCCGGAGCGGGCUUCACGCUGUCUGGCGCCAUGCUGCUGGCUGGCAUUCUGAAGGGAUCGCGGUGCUUGGUCUGCUCCUCCAUAAUUGUCUGCGGCCUGAGCACACUCGCCAUCCACUGGAUGAUCAUCCCGCUGGCGCUGUACAUCAUCUUCUCAAUAGCCGCUUAUACCUAUCUAAAAACCGAAAUGGAUGCGGACAGGGAACACUACGAGGACUUGGAUCCGAGGGUAUAGUCCUGCCUUUCUCUGGGAGAAAGGUGAAAGAUAGCAAAUUCCACCGAGUGUCCAGCAUGGCUGCAGAAUUUGGGGAGCAGAACUAAAGGUUGCAGAGGCUGCCAAAAAGCCUGUCGAUUCAAGCACACAGCUCGUCAGUGGACGUCGGAUAACGAAGAGGUGCGUGUGAGCACUCAAAGGGAAGCAAAUAAACCAAACAAUUGAUCUAAAUGUGGACUCUUUUCCUU